GAUGAACGCUGGCGGCGUGCCUAAUACAUGCCAGUCGAGCGAACAGACGAGGAGCUUGCUCCUCUGACGUUAGCGGCGGACGGGUGAGUAACACGUGGAUACCCUACCUAUAAGACUGGGAUAACUUCGGGAAACCGGAGCUAAUACCGGAUAAUAUAUUGAACCGCAUGGUUCAUUAGUGAAAGCCGGUUUUGCUGUCACUUAUAGAUGGAUCCGCGCCGCAUUAGCUAGUUGGUAAGGUAACGGCUUACCAAGGCAACGAUGCGUAGCCGACCUGAGAGGGUGAUCGGCCACACUGGAACUGAGACACGGUCCAGACUCCUACGGGAGGCAGCAGUAGGGAAUCUUCCGCAAUGGGCGAAAGCCUGACGGAGCAACGCCGCGGGAGUGAUGAAGGUCUUCGGAUCGUAAAACUCUGUUAUUAGGGAAGAACAAAUGUGUAAGUAACUAUGCACGUCUUGACGGUACCUAAUCAGAAAGCCACGGCUAACUACGUG
rnacentral:rRNA from 1 species